rnacentral:tRNA from 1 species
UCCCUGGUGGCUCAGAGGUUAAAGCGUCUGCCUCCAAUGCGGGAGACCCGGGUUCAAUCCCUGGUCGGGGAA